UCAAGUACGAGUCACAUUGUUCAAUAUCACUGCAGAAGAAUUUUCAGUGUACCGUCAUUCGAACAUUACUAUUAAUUAAAGAUCACAUUGUAUCUCGUUCGUGUCAUUUAAGAUUUUAAAACGUUCAUUGUCGUUUGUUCGACGGAAUCGCACAAAUACGACCACGUUUCGGACGGACGACGAAAUAAAACGCAGUCGGACGCGCACGUUUCUGGCGCGCACCUGCACACAAGUAUGUGGUGCACUCGAAAGCGUUGUUAGUCAGAAAAUAGUUUAUGCAUAAUCUAACAAUAAAGGCACACCAAGGUUGGUCGAAAAUUAAUUAAGUAUUAUUAAUUCAAUCCGGCACUUAUUAAUUAUAUCGAACCGUGGCUGAAUCAUUAAACGGAGGUAAGUCGACAAGUCGGAUCCCAAGUCGAUGACGUACUCAGACUUGCCGGGUCAAAUAGCAGCAACCCGGGGUCUUUUAUGCACAUUUACGCGACGACGAGUUCUGUGGCGAUGUGCGCGCGCCGCGGCGCCACCGGCAAACCUGCGUUCGUCUUGUGCGUGGGGCCGUGGGGUCUAUCAGCAGGUCUCGCCGACAGCGAUAAUAUUUAUUGAGCUAAAUACGUUUCCCGUACACUGUUACCGCGGCGACGAUGAUUAUUAUUCCCGUCGCGGUAAUAAAACGUGUUUUAUCACACGUAUAAUAUUCACAUACUUCGCGAACGAACGGCCAUAAUAAAGCGUUAAUGAUUUUAUUACGGCGUGCACCAGAAGCCGGCGACCCGCGGUUCUUUAGCGUGACCUUGACAUCGAGAUUUUUUUUUCGCGGUAGACGAUUGUAACGUAAGCAAUUGAAUAGAAACGAAAUUGCUCGGUUUGCUUUUUCCCAACUUCCUUAUUAGCGGAACAGGGACUUCGAAUGAAUUGAAUUAAGAGAGUAGGUAGUAAAUGACGAUUAAAAAAAAAAAAGAAGGUUGUUCGUUCAUGUGGUUCAUUAAACAUAGCGGUUGGUACAUUUUUAGAAAAACAAAUUUUCUCGACGAAAAGUUGCCGACCUAAGCUAUAUACUAAAACUUGCCAUAAGUUCUGUCACACGUUUGAACUGGAAUAACUCGAAAAAACAUAUACUAUUUAUUCAAAAUGGCCCCUUCCAACUUUGUAACACAGCUUCAGACGUUUUGGCCAGUCAUCAAUCGCUUUACGAAUAACUUCAAGUGACAUUUUCUUCGCUUCGUUGACAAUACUUCUCUUCAAAGUGUCCACAUUAUGAUGACCGCGACAACAUACAGCCUCCUCUAAUACACUCCACAACUCGUGGCUUGCGUAUAAUCGUUUUCUAAUUAUCAGAUAAAGUUUAAUGCCAACCACUUUAUACUCAUAUAUAUACACCAAUCAAUUUAUUAUAAAAGUAUAUAUUAUGACGCAUACUGUAGUACUAACACUUUCAGCGUUUUCAGUUCGUUUGACUUGGAAUAUACGCUAUAAGUAUUCUUUCGCUCGAAAGCACAAAACACCGUGUUUGAAACUUUUUGCCACACAGACUUACCUGCCCCUUUACUUCUAUUAUAUAAUUGUAUAAAUAUUGAAAGUUAAGAUCCUCCGUUACAUUAUGUACAAUACGAAUUCGACUAUUUUCCAUUAUUUUUAAUGAUCAUCAUACCUUGUAAUUUUAAACAUUCGU
rnacentral:lncRNA from 1 species